UAGGAGCGUGGUCACUGUGUCCGACAAGGUGAGGGGAAUCUGAGCAGCCAUCCGGCCUGGGGAUGGCUCAGGCCCUGGGAGGAUGGGGGGGCGGUAGCCCGGCCCUUAGAGGGGCAGGAGGGCUGAGGGCAUGGCCCUAAUGCUGUGGGGGCGGCUGUGACAUAAGAGGCCCUUCUGGGGCUGCUGCAGAGCCGGGGUUCUGGGGCGUACUUCACCUCCCUUCCACCUCUGUAGGCAGACCCUGGCCCAGGAGGUUCCCCUACGUGGACAGCCUGGCCGUCCCCUCCGCGCCUGCUGUGUCGUUCCAGGCGUCCUGGGGCUUGGGGACCCCCAAGGAGCCCCAGCUACCAGACCCACAGCUCUUCCCCUUAGCCUCCCGGGGGGAGGGGGCGCUGCACAUAUUCACCCGUAAACCGAAGAGAACAGCAACACCAGCCCAGGAGCUUCAGGACAGCACAGUGGGCCCCGCUCUUGGUCAGGCCUCUCUCCCACCCAGAGGAGCCUGCCAGGGCAUGAGGGUGGGGACCCUGAGCACCGAGCGCCCAGCGUUUGAGCAGCCCCUCCCCCCUGGCCUGGACACCCCCUGCCGCCCCCCCCCCAUCUGCCCACCAUCAUGGGCAGAUCUUGGUGUCCCUGAAACCAAACCCUGGCGAAGAUGCUCCCUGCAGCACCUCCUCCUUGCCCGGGGGGGGGGGGGGGAGGGCUGCUGGGAGCCUGCCCCCCGGAAAGCACAAAUUUGAAGCUCUGGGAAAAAUUACCAAGUCACGUAAACAAAUGCAAAAUAACAGAGCACACACUGUGUACCAAACCCACUCUUUCUAGUUAAGCAAACCUCAGAAAGGAAAAAAAGGAAGAAAAAAUCCAAACAACCGCAAAAACUCCACAGUGCAUUUUUUAAACUGCCCAUUUGAGUAGAAUUAUGGUCACGGGCAUCAGUUCCUGGUGGCUGGCAUCUCACCCUUGAACCCUGUCCUGGUCCCCAAGUCCUCAGAGUAGCAAGAAACCCAGCCCAACCAGACUCUUAGGCUCCGGGUCAGCUGGGGCGACUGCCACUGCCACGGAGGGAGUGAGGGCCACGACAAGGGGGACCAGCCACGAGGGUGUGAAGAGGGCCCCCCCAACCCAGACCUAAUGAACCCAUUUCCUCAGCAAGACCCAGGCCCUGGGGGGGGGGGGGGGGGGGUUGGAGCCCCUUUUCCAAACUGGAAUCAGAGCUUGUCCUGGCCCCAGCCCCUCCCUGGGCCUUUCAUUCUGGAAAAACAAGCCCGCCUGGCUGGCCUUGAGGCCUGGCCUCUCCUCCUGUUUUUUUAACUGGUCUAUAUUAGCUGGUGACCUCCCUUCUCUGGGCCCCGCCCAUGUCUCUCCAUCUCUGUCCCCCAUUCCCGCCUCUGUCUGCCGGGCUGCCUCUCCCCCACGGAGGGAAGAUGUCCAGGCAGUGCUGGAGGGAGACAGAAAUGGCCCAGGGCUGGUCCCUCUGUCUGGGAGGGGACAAGGGGGUAGGGGGCAGCUCCAGCCCUGAGCCGGGAGCCUGUGGGCGCCCUCCUGUUCCCAACAGGUUCCCUGGCCUCAGGCCCCGCACACUGAGGUCCAGCGGGGCCCUCGAGGUCCGGACUCAGCCCUCAGCUCGGCCCAAGUGUAGAAGUCUGAGGGGGCCGCCCCUGGGGGGAAGCUGACCCCCCCCCCCACGCACCCUGGGCAAGAAGGGACAGAGGCAGUGGAGGGCUGCAAACCCCUUUCCCUGCCCUCUCUGCUUGAGGGCAGCAAAACCAAAGUGAGCGGCAAAGGGCCGCUGCCCACCCCUCCGCCCCCGCUCUUGGCAGGAAACAGCCACAGAUGAGAGCAGAGAGCCAGCAGGCCACGUGCCCCUCCCCCGGCAGAGGCUUGAGGCCUCCUGCUCCUUCACGAGUGCCUGUGGGUUGUUCAUUUCCCGGUGUCGCCCGCACUCCGUUUUCCCUCGGGAAGGGAACCCACCAGGACAAAACAAACCCACGGACAUCACCUUGGUCCCACCCUGAACUCUGGCCAAUCCCCCAGCCAGCCCAGAGGCCCAGACCCACCACCCCUCUCCUCGGAGGCGUGGCUGGACGAGGCCGGGGUCAGUCACUCAGCCUGACAGACUCAGCUCCUGCCUCUUCCUCCCGAGGACUCAGACAUUCCAGGCAGCCAGGCUCACUGGGAGGAGAAACCACAGGCACUCAGAGACGCCACCAGCCACAACCAGACACAGAGACACGUGCUCACACCCACCAAUAAUGUCACGCAACAAAUAUUUGCUGAGCGCCUACUGUGUGCCAGGGCGCUGCGAGUUGCUGGAGGGAGGCAGACGGACGGCAGGUCCGCCCACUGACAAAUAAGGUUGUUUUCAUCUCUGGGAGAAGUGCUGUCUGGAGACGAAAGCGGGGCAGGGUCUUCCUCCGUGGGACUGACCGGGAUGGCCUCUGAUGGAGGGACACCCACAGAAAAAUCCGUGUCGGAUUUGCAGUUGGCAGCAGGGAAGUAUGAGGAGAGCAGGAAGCAUCGCAGCUGACGGGGCGGCCGGCGCAUCCAAAGGUCAGAGAGCGGAGCCCGUCUUCAGCUGUAACAUACCUUCCAAGGAUUUGAUCAACAAUCACUCUGAGAGCAAGAACCGAUGACGAGCUUGGAGGGCACGAGAAACUGCCAGGGGCUUUCUGCUCACCUCACGGGGUCCUGAUUGUCACUGACGGGCAAGGGCACCGAAACACGCUUACCGAGCGGGUCCUACCCGUGGGCGUGAACAUGCGACGUUGUUCAAACGUAGCAAUAAUGAUGGCAUUCCUUUUUUUUUU